UACGGAGGGCGCAAGCGUUGUUCGGAAUCAUUGGGCGUAAAGCGCGUGUAGGCGGCUUGGCAAGUCGGAUGUGAAAUCCCGGGGCUCAACCCCGGAACUGCAUUCGAAACUGCCUCGCUAGAGUCCCGGAGAGGAGGGCGGAAUUCCCGGUGUAGAGGUGAAAUUCGUAGAUAUCGGGAGGAACACCAGUGGCGAAGGCGGCCCUCUGGACGGUGACUGACGCUGAGAUGCGAAAGCGUGGGGAGCAAACAGG
rnacentral:rRNA from 1 species